rnacentral:sRNA from 1 species
AAAUAAACCCGAUUGUCGGGAAGAGCUUCCGAUCCUUCAUCGGAACUCGUACCAAAAAGCGGGACCUAAC